UGGAAGUGGCAUAGGAUGCGGUAGGGAGAAAAAAUGAAAAAAGAAACAAAGAAAAGAAAACGGAAAGGAAAAAGAGCUAAAAAGAUUAAUGAAGAAAUGGUAAAACAUUCUUUGGGGGGGCUUUCUCCCGCACGCUCCUAAUUUCAUGCAAACACUGCAAGUGAUAAGUGUCGAAGUAGUCGGGCUACUAAGCUGAAAGUGUGUAAUUGAAACUCAGGGACACCUUUGACGGGACCUUGUGUAUAUAUUUUUUUUGUUUGGGUUGCUUUGUCGUGGGAGUUCAUAAAUCUGGGUUACAAGAUCAACAUUUGUUUUGAAGUGCAGGAAAACUUGGUUCAUGAUGAGCCUUUGGAGUUUUUGGUGCUGCUCUAUGUGUCACCACAUUUUUUUUUUAAAAAAAAUAAAUA
rnacentral:misc_RNA from 1 species